rnacentral:rRNA from 1 species
UAAGGAAUAUUGGACAAUGGGCGAGAGCCUGAUCCAGCCAUGCCGCGUGCAGGAAGACGGCCCUACGGGUUGUAAACUGCUUUUGCACCAGAGAAAACCUCCCUUCGUGAAGGGAGCUGAUAGUAUGGUGAGAAUAAGCAUCGGCUAACUUCGUGCCAGCAGCCGCGGUAAGACGAAGGAUGCAAGCGUUAUCCGGAUUCAUUGGGUUUAAAGGGAGCGUAGGUGGAUUUGUAAGUCAGUGGUGAAAGCCCUCAGCUUAACUGAGGAAUUGCCAUUGAUACUGCAGAUCUUGAGUACAAAUGAUGUGGGCGGAAUAUGACAUGUAGUGGUGAAAUACUUAGAGAUGUCAUAGAACACCGAUUGCGAAGGCAGCUCACAAAACUGUAACUGACACUGAGGC